rnacentral:rRNA from 1 species
CCUACGGGUGGCAGCAGUGAGGAAUAUUGGUCAAUGGACGAGAGUCUGAACCAGCCAAGUAGCGUGAAGGAUGACUGCCCUAUGGGUUGUAAACUUCUUUUAUAAAGGAAUAAAACGAGGCACGUGUGCCUUUUUGCAUGUACUUUAUGAAUAAGGAUCGGCUAACUCCGUGCCAGCAGCCGCGGUAAUACGGAGGAUCCGAGCGUUAUCCGGAUUUAUUGGGUUUAAAGGGAGCGUAGAUGGGUUGUUAAGUCAGUUGUGAAAGUUUGCGGCUCAACCGUAAAAUUGCAAUUGAUACUGGCAGUCUUGAGUACAGUUGAGGUAAGCGGAAUUCGUGGUGUAGCGGUGAAAUGCUUAGAUAUCACGAAGAACCCCGAUUGCGAAGGCAGCUUACUAAAUUGUGACUGACAUUGAUGCACGAAAGCGUGGGUAGCAAACAGGAUUAGAUACCCCGGUAGUC